rnacentral:lncRNA from 13 species
UAACGUAACACAGCUUACGACCAAUCCGGCCGUUUACGACCGCAUUUGACAUAUAUGGGGUUAAGUAUCCCAAAAUACACCCGAGAAUACUAAAAUAAUGUCUUGGUGAUAUUAUGAGUAUCAGAUCGAUGGCAAAUCGUACUAUUUUAGUACACAAUGUUUGGUAAACAAUAAUACAUGGAAUAAUACGCACAUAUCAAGAGUUAGCCAGGCAACGGCGAGUUCCAAGGAAAAAGCUUAC